AUAUAAAUAAACAUUUUUUGUAUAAUUUAAAGUUAAAACUUAACACUUUUGAUUCCACAAAUCAAUAU
rnacentral:tRNA from 1 species